rnacentral:rRNA from 1 species
UACGGGGGGGGCAAGCGUUGUUCGGAAUUACUGGGCGUAAAGGGUUCGUAGGCGGCCAACUAAGUCAUACGUGAAAUCCCUCAGCUUAACUGGGGAACUGCGUCUGAUACUGGUUGGCUUGAGUGCAGGAGAGGAACGCGGAAUUCCAGGUGUAGCGGUGAAAUGCGUAGAUAUCUGGAGGAACACCGGUGGCGAAGGCGGCGUUCUGGACUGCAACUGACACUGAGGAACGAAAGCCAGGGGAGCAAACGGG